AGGGAGACGGAGUGGGCGCCAGCGGGAGCCGAGGGUGGAGCGGGGGAGAUCCAGGGAAUGCAGCAGCUUGGGUUAAUGACACCGGUUUCAGGGCUAACGUGCGGCUGAGGCGGUGCAGAGAGAGAUUCUUCCUAAGCGGAGUUGUAUGGGGUUGGGGUACAACAGGGUCUGCCACCUCACUGCUCAACCACCGCCCUCCCCCCCCCGCCUCGACACGGGCACCCCCUUGGGAUGUUGGAAAGUAGAUGCUGCUGCGUGAAGCUUUCAAACAUGUUUUCUCAACUCAUGCACGGGUUGUUUUCUGCUAUAUGUGUUACCUGCAAAUGUGUGCAGGAAUGUGUAUGUUGUCCUCAUUUUCUUAUACUGUUAACAGGAUAAACAUUGCCAUAUAGCAAUAAAGCACUGGUGAAUAAUGUAA